UGGGGAAUUUUGGACAAUGGGCGAAAGCCUGAUCCAGCAAUGCCGCGUGUGUGAAGAAGGCCUUCGGGUUGUAAAGCACUUUUGUCCGGAAAGAAAUCCUUGGCUCUAAUACAGUCGGGGGAUGACGGUACCGGAAGAAUAAGCACCGGCUAACUACGUGCCAGCAGCCGCGGUAAUACGUAGGGUGCAAGCGUUAAUCGGAAUUACUGGGCGUAAAGCGUGCGCAGGCGGUUUGCUAAGACCGAUGUGAAAUCCCCGGGCUCAACCUGGGAACUGCAUUGGUGACUGGCAGGCUAGAGUAUGGCAGAGGGGGGUAGAAUUCCACGUGUGGCAGUGAAAUGCGUAGAGAUGUGGAGGAAUACCGAUGGCGAAGGCAGCCCCCUGGGGCCAAAUACUGACGCUCAUGCACGAAAGCGUGGGGAGCAAACAGGAUUAGAUACCCUGGGUAGUCCACGCCCUAAACGAUGUCAACUAGCUGUUGGGG
rnacentral:rRNA from 1 species